UACGUAGGGGGCAAGCGUUGUCCGGAAUCAUUGGGCGUAAAGCGCGUGUAGGCGGCCCGAUAAGUCCGCUGUGAAAGUCCAGGGCUCAACCCUGGGAUGCCGGUGGAUACUGUUGGGCUCGAGUCCGGAAGAGGCGAGUGGAAUUCCUGGUGUAGCGGUGAAAUGCGCAGAUAUCAGGAGGAACACCAAUGGCGAAGGCAGCUCGCUGGGACGUGACUGACGCUGAGACGCGAAAGCGUGGGGAGCAAACAGG
rnacentral:rRNA from 1 species